rnacentral:rRNA from 2 species
ACACCGGGACUGAGACACGGCCCGGACUCCUACGGGAGGCAGCAGUGGGGAAUAUUGGACAAUGGGGGAAACCCUGAUCCAGCCAUGCCGCGUGUGUGAAGAAGGCCUUUUGGUUGUAAAGCACUUUAAGCAGUGAAGAAGACUCUUCGGUUAAUACCCGGAGACGAUGACAUUAGCUGCAGAAUAAGCACCGGCUAACU